CCUACGGGAUGCACCAGUGGGGAAUUUUCCGCAAUGGGCGAAAGCCUGACGGAGCAAUGCCGCGUGUAUGAAGAAGGCCUUCGGGUUGUAAAGUACUUUCAGCGGGGAGGAAGGGAGUAAAGUUAAUACCUUUGCUCAUUGACGUUACCCGCAGAAGAAGCACCGGCUAACUCCGUGCCAGCAGCCGCGGUAAUACGGAGGGUGCAAGCGUUAAUCGGAAUUACUGGGCGUAAAGCGCACGCAGGCGGUUUGUUAAGUCAGAUGUGAAAUCCCCGGGCUCAACCUGGGAACUGCAUCUGAUACUGGCAAGCUUGAGUCUCGUAGAGGGGGGUAGAAUUCCAGGUGUAGCGGUGAAAUGCGUAGAGAUCUGGAGGAAUACCGGUGGCGAAGGCGGCCCCCUGGACGAAGACUGACGCUCAGGUGCGAAAGCGUGGGGAGCAAACAGGAUUAGAUACCCGGGUAGUC
rnacentral:rRNA from 1 species